rnacentral:rRNA from 1 species
UACGGAGGGUGCGAGCGUUGUCCGGAAUCACUGGGCGUAAAGGGCGCGUAGGCGGCGCGGGAAGUCAUCGGUGAAAGUUCAGGGCUCAACUCUGAAUCGGCCGGUGAUACUCUCGUGCUCGAGCACUGUAGAGGCAGGUGGAAUUCCGGGUGUAGCGGUGGAAUGCGUAGAGAUCCGGAGGAACACCGGUGGCGAAGGCGGGUCUCUGGGCCGAUACUGACGCUGAGGAGCGAAAGCGUGGGGAGCGAACAGG